CACACCGAUGGUUGGUGGGUGGGGGAAGGUUUAAUGGAAUUUAUUGAUGAAAAGGAGUCAGGUAAUAGUGCAGGUGAAUAGCUGGCAGUAGCUGAGUGCAGGGGGGCUUCGUGAGCACAGGGGUUACUUGACAUCAGGCUCAGGUGAGUGCUGGACAGGUGGCUUGCUGACUUGGUGGCAGAUCGUUGGCCUCCUGUACUGAUGUACAGCAUGGAGCUCAAGUAGGCCAGCUCGGAGACUUGGCGGGAUGGGCGGCAGACGUGCCUAGGCUGGAGGCUGGAGCUCUAAAUGGAUGUCCACACCGGAGAAGACGAGGAGAGACAGGAUGCCAUCUCUGCUUGGACUGAUGGCCAAGUUGCACCCAGACUUCCCUUCACCAUGAGGCCUAUUUUGGGGACCAACAAAGCCAUAUUAAUGCCCGUGUCUUUUUGAUGGGUUGCUCAGCAAACACAUAUGGAUGAAAUAUUUGUGUGUUCAUACUUCUGGUCAUAGAUUGUAUGAUUUUAGAAGUGGAUCAUUUUUAAUCUUAUUUUACAAAUAAAGAUUUGAUAUUCUCUUCCUUUCUUAAACGUU